CCUACGGGAGGCAGCAGUAAGGAAUUUUAGACAAUGGGCGAAAGCCUGAUCUAGCAACGCCGCGUGGACGAUGAAGGCCUUCGGGUCGUAAAGUCCUUUUCUGUGGGAAGAUCGUGACGGUACCACAGGAAUAAGCAUCGGCUAACUACGUGCCAGCAGCCGCGGUAAUACGUAGGAUGCAAGCGUUGUCCGGAUUUAUUGGGCGUAAAGAGUGCGUAGGCGGCUUCUUAAGUGGGGCGUGAAAUCCCCCGGCUUAACCGGGGAUGGUCGUCCUAAACUGGGGGGCUUGAGGGUAGAAGAAGAGAGCGAAAUUCCCGUUGUAGGGGUAAAAUGCGGAGAUAUCGGGAGGACCACCCGUGGCGAAGGCGGCUCCCUGGCCACAAGCUGACGCUGAGG
rnacentral:rRNA from 1 species